rnacentral:rRNA from 1 species
AUUGAACGCUGGCGGCAUGCCUUACACAUGCAAGUCGAACGGUAACGCGGGGCAACCUGGCGACGAGUGGCGAACGGGUGAGUAAUGUAUCGGAACGUGCCCAGUUGUGGGGGAUAACUGCUCGAAAGAGCAGCUAAUACCGCAUACGACCUGAGGGUGAAAGCGGGGGAUCGCAAGACCUCGCGCAAUUGGAGCGGCCGAUAUCAGAUUAGGUAGUUGGUGGGGUAAAGGCCCACCAAGCCAACGAUCUGUAGCUGGUCUGAGAGGACGACCAGCCACACUGGGACUGAGACACAGCCCAGACUCCUACGGGAGGCAGCAGUGGGGAAUUUUGGACAAUGGACGCAAGUCUGAUCCAGCCAUGCCGCGUGCGGGAAGAAGGCCUUCGGGUUGUAAACCGCUUUUGUCAGGGAAGAAAAGGGCGACUCUAAUACAGUUGCCUCAUGACGGUACCUGAAGAAUAAGCACCGGCUAACUACGUGCCAGCAGCCGCAGUAAUAC